rnacentral:rRNA from 1 species
UACGGGGGGUGCAAGCGUUACUCGGAAUCACUGGGCGUAAAGAGCAUGUAGGCGGAUUAAUAAGUCUGAAGUGAAAUCCUAUAGCUUAACUAUAGAACUGCUUUUGAAACUGUUAAUCUAGAAUGUGGGAGAGGUUGAUGGAAUUUCUGGUGUAGUGGUAAAAUCCGUAGAGAUCAGGAGGAAUACCGAUUGCGAAGGCGGUCUACUGGACCAUUAUUGACGCUGAGAUUCGAAAGCGUGGGGAGCAAACAGG